AACGAACGCUGGCGGCAUGCCUAACACAUGCAAGUCGAACGAGACCUUCGGGUCUAGUGGCGCACGGGUGCGUAACGCGUGGGAAUCUGCCCUUGGGUUCGGAAUAACAGUGAGAAAUUACUGCUAAUACCGGAUGAUGUCUUCGGACCAAAGAUUUAUCGCCCAGGGAUGAGCCCGCGUAGGAUUAGCUAGUUGGUGGGGUAAUGGCCUACCAAGGCGACGAUCCUUAGCUGGUCUGAGAGGAUGAUCAGCCACACUGGGACUGAGACACGGCCCAGACUCCUACGGGAGGCAGCAGUGGGGAAUAUUGGACAAUGGGCGCAAGCCUGAUCCAGCAAUGCCGCGUGAGUGAUGAGGGCCUUAGGGUUGUAAAGCUCUUUUACCCGGGAUGAUAAUGACAGUACCGGGAGAAUAAGCUCCGGCUAACUCCGUG
rnacentral:rRNA from 1 species